rnacentral:tRNA from 1 species
GAUUUAUAGGUAAAAUCCGCUCGCCUGACUCAUAAUCGCUUGGUCGUUGGUUCAAACCCAACAGGGGCCACCA